UACAGAGGUCCCAAGCGUUGUUCGGAUUCACUGGGCGUAAAGGGGGCUCAGGUGGCAUGGUAAGUUCGAUGUGAAAGCCCCGGGCUUAACCCGGGAAAGGCAUUGGAUACUACUGUGCUGGAGGAUUGGAGGGGGGACUGGAAUUCUUGGUGUAGCCGUGAAAUGCGUAGAUAUCAAGAGGAACACCAGUGGCGAAGGCGAGUCCCUGGACAAUACCUGACACUGAGGCACGAAAGCCAAGGGAGCAAACAGG
rnacentral:rRNA from 1 species